GACCUCUUGGUCAAGUGGUUAAGACACCGCCCUUUCACGGCGGUAACAGGGGUUCGAAUCCCCUAGAGGUCG
rnacentral:tRNA from 1 species